UAAUUCUAUUUUUUUUUUUUUCUUAAUGAUCCUGGUAAUUCUAGUUACUCCUUCAACUGUAUUCUUCCCUGGACCUCUUUUUCAUACCUUCUCUCUCUCUCUCUCUCUCUCUCUCUCUCUCUCUGGCUGCUGUGAUAAAUGCUAAGUGGCCCCUCCUUAUUUCUCAGGAAUUUCUCACCAGCUCAUCCAGCUCAUCCUGGGACACUUCAUGUCCUUCUAGUUGCCUGAACCGUGCAACCCAUGGAAAAUCAUCCUGCUGGCACCUUUGGCUCUAGGAAAACCUUCUCUGUUGUUCUCCAUUCCUGUUUCUGCUCUGUUGAAACAGGCAGGUUCCCAGCCAACACAUUAUAAGAGCCACUCAUCAAAAGCUUUUCUAAUCGCACUUGCAAAACUCAGUUCAUUUGCAUGGUUUGAGGUCACUUUGUUUUGUUUUCCUCCAACAAACAUAGAAUGUUUGGGGGAGGGUUAUUUAUUUGCCACAAUCUUUUUAGAGUUUGGCUUAAAUUAUUGAGUAAAAUUGAGUCUGUUCUGUCCACAUGGGAAGAAAAUUGUUCAGCCCUCCCUCUUUGAACCUCUUGGCUAUUGAGACCCUAGACCCUUCUAGGCCUUUGCUAGACUGGCCUCAUGUGCCUCAUUUUGGCUUCUCAAAGGCCCAUGUAUUUUGCCUGCUUUGCUCAGCCUCUUUUUUCCUUGACUCUCUUCUUCCCUGAGGAGCAGGAUACAAUCACCACAGCUCUCUCAGUGGAUCUGCAGCUCCUGAUGGCUCCAAGACUUUCCAGAGUCAGAGAUGGACGUACUGCAAACUACCCUGAGGCCAGACAGAGCAUGCGUCGCCGAGAGGCUCCUGAUGAAAUAAUAAAACCCAAUUCUCAUCUAGAAAAAAGAAUCAUUAUAGGAGGAUGGUAA
rnacentral:lncRNA from 1 species